rnacentral:sRNA from 1 species
AUAAAAAGUUUAAUAUAUCAAAAAAACUUAACAUCAUUAUAUAAUAUAUAGAGUUUAAAAAAUCUCAAAAAAAAAUUCGUCAUAUUUUAUGAUUCGAAAUUUUAAGAAUGAACAUAUAUUAACUAAUUGGCGAAAAAUGUGUGGGUUCAACAUCCCGUAACGAAUAAAAUCUUUUGACAAUGAUUCAUAAACAUAUUAUAAAUAAGAUCAACAUUAAUAAAAUAAAUAUUUUUUUUGUGGAUGGGUUUGGCGGGACGGGUUUGGCAGGACGUUACUUAGUAACAAUUGUAAACUAUAAAAUAAUUUACAAAUUUUAUAUAUAUUAAUUUUAAAAAAUGAAUUGUCUCCGCGGUGUACCGCGGGUUAAAAUCUAGUAAACAGUUUUAGAAACAAACAAAUUUACACGUCAUUUAAGUUAAAUAUGGAAUAAAAUUUUUAAAGUGAAAUUAUUGUCACUCUCACGUCCCAUUACUACUAAUACUGCUCAGAAUUAAUUGUCUAUACUACUACUACGAGUUAUGUAUGAGUUGCAGAAAUAAAUCUUUUGAA